UACGUAGGGAGCAAGCGUUGUCCGGAAUCAUUGGGCGUAAAGCGCGCGUAGGCGGUCCGAUAAGUCCGCUGUGAAAGUCAACGGCUCAACUGUUGGAUGCCGGUGGAUACUGUCGGGCUAGAGUACGGAAGAGGCAAGUGGAAUUCCUGGUGUAGCGGUGGAAUGCGCAGAUAUCAGGAGGAACACCUAUAGCGAAGGCAGCUUGCUGGGACGUUACUGACGCUAAGGCGCGAAAGCGUGGGGAGCAAACAGG
rnacentral:rRNA from 1 species